UUCACUCGUAAGUUUUUCUUCAAAAUUUCUUCAUUCCGUGUUUACCUUAAGUCUGUUUAUUUUUCUCAUUCUGGACAAGUGUAGGAAGGUCCAAAUUUCAAGGGUAAUUAAUUUGUCUUGUAAAAUCUUCCCAAACAUCCUCUCCCUCACCCCCCACAAAGCUGAACUCCGGUGGACUGCCGUAGAAGGAAAAUAGACUUUCUGUCUGACGAAUUGAAAUCUUGGCAGAGUUCAAAGAAAUCACCAGCAGUUUGUCAGGGUUGAAGAUUGGCUAAGAGCUGUCCCACAUCGGAGCAUUAACCUAUCUCACUGCUGUCCACUAGUUUGUCGGGCUUGAUGUUUGCGGUAGGAGUCCCACAUCGACGCACUGACUUAUCAAUAUGUUGUUUAUAGCGACAUUCACUACAGCUGAAGGGCACGACCUUACUUGAACAGGAUCUGUUCUAUAGUCUCGUACCAUUGUAUCCUUGAGAUCUAAGGAGACAGAAAACUAAGUCUGGUUGAUGAGGCGUGGCUAUGAGGCUAGAGCGUGAUUAACAGCCUUCCAUGGUCACUUCUGUGGCCUUGGAGCAGUAGAGGAUCGUUCUCAGCUCUGCCUGCAGGUCUGGGAUGGUCUCAUAGCUGUCUGACAGACUUCAAAUCUUUU